rnacentral:rRNA from 1 species
GACGAACGCUGGCGGCGUGCCUAAUACAUGCAAGUCGAACGGAAAGGCCCUGCUUUUGCGGGGCGCUCGAGUGGCGAACGGGUGAGUAACACGCGAGUAACCUGCCCUUGACUUUGGGAUAACUCCAGGAAACUGGGGCUAUUACCGGAUAGGAGCUCCUGCUGCACGGUGGGGGUUGGAAAGUUUCGGCGGUUGGGGAUGGACUCGCGGCUUAUCAGCUUGUUGGUGGGGUAGUGGCUUACCAAGGCUUUGACGGGUAGCCGGCCUGAGAGGGGGACCGGCCACAUUGGGACUGAGAUACGGCCCAGACUCCUACGGGAGGCAGCAGUGGGAAGUAUUGCACAAUGGGCGGGAGCCUGAUGCAGCAACGCCGCGUGCGGGAUGACGGCCUUCGGGUUGUGAACCGCUUUCGCCUGAGACGAAGCGUGAGUGACGGUAAUGGGUAAGGAAGCACCGGCUAACUACGUG